CGGAUGAUCGAGCCGCACCCUGCUCUAUGCCCUGCUCCAUACCUGUGCAGCCAAGGAAAAGAAGGAAGCAUCACAGCCUGAAAGCACUUAGUUCUACAGCCCCAAAUCUGAUGGAAGAAGCAUCUGCUAUUCCACCCCUGUUCCAAGUUGGUGCCGUCUGGGAAAAAGUCAAGACACCAAAGGGCAACCCAUCCCUCAGCAUAAAGAAACAUAGAGCUACAAGAAAGUGUCAGCCUGGACUAUGCAGCCAUCAACCAGAAGAGAUAUUUGGAAACUGAGGAUGGGCUUACUUCCUUUGCCUCUCCAGUUUCUACCCUUCCACUGACAGCAGUCCUCUCCUCUACCCAGAACCAUCCCUUCUUUUGCUCUGAUCUAAGGUAUACUGGCUCUUGUUUCAUAUGUAAAAUGUAAAAGCAUGCUGUGGUGGCUCUUA